GUACUCACUUUUGCAGCACAUAAACUAAAAUUGGAAUGAUAUAGAGAAGAUUAGCUUGCCUCUCAGACCACAGCAUGGGAAAAGAUAUUUGCAAAUGACAU
rnacentral:snRNA from 1 species